CUCGGUUGCAGCCCGGUGCCGUGAGCUGAAGAGGUUUCACAUCUUACUCCGCCCCACACCCUGGGCGUUGCGGCGCUGGGCUCGUUGCUGCAGCCGGACCCUGCUCGAUGGGCACGACUGGGCUGGAGAGUCUGAGUCUGGGGGACCGCGGAGCUGCCCCCACCGUCACCUCUAGUGAGCGCCUAGUCCCAGACCCGCCGAAUGACCUCCGCAAAGAAGAUGUUGCUAUGGAAUUGGAAAGAGUGGGAGAAGAUGAGGAACAAAUGAUGAUAAAAAGAAGCAGUGAAUGUAAUCCCUUGCUACAAGAACCCAUCGCUUCUGCUCAGUUUGGUGCUACUGCAGGAACAGAAUGCCGUAAGUCUGUCCCAUGUGGAUGGGAAAGAGUUGUGAAGCAAAGGUUAUUUGGGAAGACAGCAGGAAGAUUUGAUGUGUACUUUAUCAGAAGAUACCAUCCCACGAACACAGAUAGAAAGAAGGAAAACAAGCCUGUAUUUUUCCAGCAAAUAUAACAAAGAAGCUCUUAGCCCCCCACGACGUAAAGCCUUUAAGAAAUGGACACCUCCUCGGUCACCUUUUAAUCUCGUUCAAGAAACACUUUUUCAUGAUCCAUGGAAGCUUCUCAUCGCUACUAUAUUUCUCAAUC
rnacentral:lncRNA from 1 species